ensembl:snRNA U6 U6 spliceosomal RNA
GUGCUUGCUUUGGCAGCACAUAUUCUAAAAUUAGAACAAUACAGAGAAGAUUAGCAUGGUCCCUGCGCAAGGAUGACAUGCAAAUUCAUGAAGCGUUCCAUAUUUUU